GGAAAAGGGAGGACUCUUAUACCGACUUGGGGAGCCCAUGGAACUUCAUUUGAUUAGCAUUUCGCACAACGAAACAAUUUGGCGCGUAUACGUGCCCCACUCAGCUGUCGCCCACUAACAAUCAACAACAAGUGCAACAGCAAUGGCCAGCGCACUACCAACACAUCACCCUUUUAUUUUCCACCCAAAUCCCCAAACAGCGAGCGGCGACUAGGAAACAAGUCAACACUGGCUACCAACAAUGUCAAAUGUUGCAUGUGCCACCCGCACACAAACGCAAACGUAGAGGCUUACACUUCAAUUUAAGUUUGGCUAACUAUGAUGCUUAAAAGAUAAUAUUAAUCUCAAGAUAAUUUAAAAAACCCA